UUUUUUUUUUCCCGCUAACAUCGUAAUAAUGUUAUUAUCAAACCGCCGCCGGCGUUUUGUUCUCCGUCCGGAACAAGGCCGACAAGGACAACGACGAAGACGGAAUCUCGACGAAACCCCGUCGAGCUGCAGACGUCCGCGAACACGUGCAAGUACGAACAUUUGUUUUAUCGUUUCCCUCUCGCUCGUCCUCCACUACUUUAUCCUCGCAGUAUUUUGAGCUCAUCCUACCACUCUGCACGCGCACAACAAAAACACUAUGCACAUUAUCAUAUUAAUAAUAAGGAAAUGAACGGGUUCGAAUCGUGCGUAGACCCGGAUUAAGAAAUGGACUAGUGGCAGAGAGAGAGAGAGGUGCGAGAACGAACAUUAUUAUAAAGAGAUAUCUGAUAGAAUACGACUGAUGUGAUAAACUAUACCUACUCACUAACAGUAAGUGAGAAAGAGAGAGAGAGAGUGAGAGAGAAGUUAAACGCCAACGAUAAUAACAUUUUUAGAGAGAGACGGUAAUAUCUGCAGUUUAAAUCAAAAAAUGACGGCACUAAGACGCUUAUUGCGGGAUACGGGAAUUGUUUAACUAUCUGUGGGUUACACUCACUUUGAUCAUAUACCGUGGACGGAGCAUUCAAGUUAAAUGUGUUAUACUGCGUAUACUCAAUUGUGCAGUCCAAUGUAAACCCCUACUGAUAAGUUAUAACAUAAUUUCGAAUGAUAUAAUAUGUUGGUAAACGUGCGUGCUGCGGCUGCCGCCGGGUUCCGAUCGCUGAUGUAGUUACCUAUGUUAAAAAUUAAAUCGUGAGUGGGUUGGUUAUUUCGGACACUGUUGCAUAGGCCAAUGAAGCAAAUGAGCUGAGGCAGCACUUUGUAAAUAAUAUUUAAGAACUCGAGCACCGCGGUAACGGGACAAUGCGGGUUUUCGAUCGAAACACGUAUGUGUGUAUACGUAUUGUUUUCGAGAGACCCGAUUUUGUAUGUUUGUUUUUAUUUGUAACCAAGAGGUUUUGAAUAGCUAGCGUGAAAUAUCGUUUAUUUUUUAGUAGGCACGAUACGUAGCCUUAUUCCGAGUCUUAUCUAAAACCGGUCAAUUCGUGGUCAUUUGGUUACUCCAGUUUGCGUUUGAGCGAUAACCUUGUUAAAGAGAUAUACGACAGUGGCGCCCAACGCAAUUCGUCGUUCCACGCCCGGAGACCUUUCCCCCCCCCCCGAUUGUGUGUGUUUUGCCCAGUUUUUUAGUUUUCGUGUUUUUUAUGUGUGUUUUCUACACAGUUUUGAUUUUAGAUUCUCAGUGUAGCGAAGAAUGUAUUGGUUUUAUUAAGAUGUUUAUUAUUUUUUUAUUUUUUUUUAUAUAUAUACUGUGUACAAAAAUUCGACUAUAAAUCUUGUCCAGGUGGUACUUUCGGAGGUCAUUUUUUGAUUUUCCAAGUGGUUUUCAUUAUAUCUAGGAAAAACCGGGAUAAAACGUCAACAUUUAAAUGUUUAUAAAUAGUUCAAAAGUUUGGAAAAUUGUAUUACGAAUAUAAGGUUUCUGUCCAAAUUUGUAAUUAUAAAAGAAAUGUUUUCGUAAAUUCUACCGUUAUUUUUAUGAUUUUUCGGAUUUGCCGAACUAUUAAAAAAACUAUAAAGAAAAUCAAAAUAACGACUUUAUUGGACACCAACUAGACUAAAAAUUCAUCGGAAAAUGUCUAAUGCCGUUUUUCUAUUGAAGCGAUAUUAAUGACAGAAAACCUUAGCCGAAAAACGGAUGAUUGUCGUUCAUUAAUAAUCUCUAUGGCAACAACACCAUUGUUGAUGGGCCGUUGUUUUUUAUGAACAGUAUCUGUGUUACUUUUUUUAUUUCAAUAGUUGCAAUUAUUAUUUUGCCCUACUCGGCUCUGACACGUCCGGACUUCGUUUUGCGUAUUUUAGAUAUUUACAAUCAAGUUUGAGUAAUUUUUUCAUUCGAAUGGACACAUUGUUAAUAUAAGUCAAUAUAAUAUGUGUGUAUCUUCGACCAAUCCACAAAACUUCACCUGUGACAUACAAGGCUCCAAGGUAUUAUUUUAUAUCUUUUAAUGAUUUAGGUAUUUAAUAUUUGAUCAGAUUGUCUGUUUUUUUGUUACGCUUUAGAAAUUGUAUUAUAAAAAAAAGUAUUUACGAAAAUGUUUUAAUAAUUAGUAAUUUACAAUUAGCGAUUGGUUAUCUGAAUAAUUUUUUGUAGGCUCAUAUCAUAAAAAAUGAAGUAUCGUUUUUUUUUUCUAAACGAGGCUCUGCUAAAAUUUUCUAUAACUAGAAGACUAUGCGACUUUUUUAAGUGAAAACUUUCACCAUCUACUUUUUUUCUACGGGAUUUUAUAUCAGUUGGAACCUCAAAUUGUAUUGGAUUAUUAUUUAAUAAAAAAAAUGAAGUAAACGUGAUCAAUUGAAUUAAGGCUUGGUGAAUUUGGAUUAUAAUUUAUGUUAUAAAAUAAAUAAACAAAUAAAAAGUAUUUAUUCAUUACCUAUUAUUGUACUCAUUAGAUUUAUUCGACCUUUGACGUGGUUGAAGUCGAUUUGAGUGAUACUGCGUAGCGUAAAUCUGCCGCAAUCACGCGCAUCUUCAAAAACACAUUUUAUAUAAAUUGUAACGUAAAUUUUAUAAUAUAAUUUAUAUACAAUUAUUUAUAAUAUAAAUUAUAAUUAUGAAAAUGAACACACUUUUAAACUUAUGUGCCAUUCAAUAAUUCGAGUAUCUAUACAUGGUGAUAAUUUUCCAAAUUCACCUGUGCUGAAUUACUCUUCAAUAAAGGUAAUUAUCUAAACUUAGGAAGUUAAAAACGUAUUCAAGAACCUCUACAGGACAGCAGAGACUUAACGGAACGGUCACUUUAAACAUACAUACAGCCAUUGAAAAUUAUACCAGAUAUAGUGUUUGAUAAAACGGCGAGGUACCCUGUUCGAAUAAUUAAUCUUAGAUUGUAAAUUAUUAUUAUCGCCAUAUUAUGACUUACGAGUAAAGUAUAUUCAAAAACAUAAUUAAUACGAGUCCGAAUCGUUUUCCAAUAUGCGUUGUCUAUAAACGAAAGGUAAACAAUUUAAUGAUUUUACUCAUGAACCUAACUUAACAUCAACCCCUUCACCCCGACAAACAACGUCUAAAAUUUAUUUAAUUUUUUUCAAAGUCAUAGAACCCCCUUCGAAAAUAAAUCCUGGUUGCGCCACUGGCCUCACGGGUAGAAAAAAAAAACCCAUUUAUCGCCAAUUAUUACCAAUUAAAAACCAUAGAUAAUCUAUAUUACCGCAGUAAACCACUGCUAUAACCACAAGUAACCGGUGCGAUUACACAUAUAUUCUCUUCGGUGACGUUAUUAUACCGUGUAUAAUACAUAUUUAUAGGUGUGCGGAUGUCCUUUCCAUGGUGCAUAUAUUAUCUAAGAUAACAACCCUCUGGACUACCGGGACCCGGAGGGCCCGGUAAAACUCUUAAUCCGGUCCUGUUGGCCGCCCCUCGAUAUGUGUAUACUUAUCAGUUAUGUAGUAUUGUACGGGCGUGCGGCCGACCGUCGACAAGACCGAACGACCAAGUCGUGCAUUACGAACGUCGCGUAUGACAUAUUCCGCGUCGGGUAAAACGGUGAUGGGGUGGGGUGGGGUUGGGUAAUCCGCGGCCGUUUGUCCGCGACCGGAGCAAUCAAUUUCACGAAAAAUCGUUACCGACGUCAGGACAGUUUGUCCGGUCGUUAUGCGAGGAGGACUGACACGUACAGUACGACCAUAAUAUAGUAAAAGAAUAAAAAAAAAAAAAAAAAAAAAAAUAAUGGACGGAACCGUCGUCGUCGCAUCGUCAGCAGCGUGUGUUGUGCGGAAGACACGUCGUCGUCGGAAUCUAUCGGCGUCCUAUACGGGAAAAAAUAUCGUUUGGAAAGGAAAAAAAAAUAAUAAUAAUAAUAAAAACGAAGGAUAUGUGUGUGUGUGUGUAUGUGUGUACGCGCGCGCUCGGGCUCGUAAUAAUAAUACCUUGGCGGAGGUCCAACAGGACGAAAUAAUAAUAAUACGAGUAUAGGUACUUUAUAACAAUAUUAUUAUUAUUAUUAUUAUUAUUAUUAUUAUUAUAUAUACGUGAUAGCAGCUGCUGAUAACCGAAACGGCCGGCGAGUGGCGGUACUGCCGCAAUAGUUGUACCUGUAUACGAGUGCCGCGUACGCAGUCGAGAAGAACACGCUCGCGCAUUACUUAUAUACGCGCGGCGGGUCCUACAAUAAUAGUAAUAAUAAUAAUAAUAAUAAUAACAAAUAUAAAAAAAAUAAUAUAACGCAAUAAAAAUACACGUACGCUACGAACGGCGCAUUCGUAAGCGUCCGUGUACAUGCCGUUUGCGUGAAUGGGUUGGGUAGUUCGGAGACGCGCGAUCCGUCGUCGUGGGUACGUGCGCCGUCGUCGUCGUCGUGUCGGCGCUGGAAAGGCAACCGGUCCGGUUCUGUAAUUGCGGUCACGUACUACGCGGACGCGCGGCAGAAACGACGGCCGCGACUACCGGCCCCGCGCCGAAUCGGACCCACGGCCGCGGAAUACUAAAAGCUCCGUCCGGCUCCGGGGAGACGCGCGGGCGUGUGUUUUUUUUUUUUUUUAUUAUUGCGGCCGCGGCUGUAGUCGUCCGCCGCGACGUCGUAGUGACAGGCACAGGGUACGACAGCAGCGAAUACCAUACGCGCGUGUUUUUUACGCGAUACCGCGGUGAUUAUAUUGCGUGUCGUUUUGCGGACGACCGGUUCGACGGGGUUUUCUCUCGUCGGGGGAACGAGUGGUAGGGGGGUGGGGUGGCGGGCGCGUCGUCGUGACGGUUUUCGAAAUCCGGUAAAAACAAACUGUCCGAAGGAAGAGAGGGUUUAUGUACGUUUUCCGUUGGUUUCAACGGCAAUAAGCAGACCGAGAGUAUCGGAAAUACGCAUACACUCGUCGGUGUCGGAGUUUCGACAUUUUUCCGGGAGGAGUCCCGAAAAAUCAUAAAUAUAUUAUCCAUUAAAAUUUAUUAAAAGACGACAUUUUAUUGAAAUUGAUCGGUGUCUGGAAGGGGUCCGGACCCCUGGAUUCGUCCCUCGUAAAUCCGCCACAUUAAUAUGCAAAAUAUACACCCGUUAAAGGCCAUUUAAAUCGAAAAAUAAAAGGAAAAACAAUACCUGUACAAAAGACGUAAAACGAAAAAAAAAACGUGCCAAAAAUCGAAUUGUGAUUUUUUUUUCCCGAAACCAAAAAUAUUAGAGCGAGAAUUGGCCUAUAUGUGUGUCGUCAAAUUCCGAAUUUAGAACAUAAUAUAAUAUCGGUGAGUAUUUCCAUUUAUUUUUCUCGAUUAGGUUAACUCUGCCAAUUGUAAAUGUGUUUUACGAAUUUACAAUAUCUAAUAUUAUAUUGAAUAACAGGUACACGUUUUGACUACUUAAUUUUACCUCCUUUCAUUUCCUAAUUAAUGCCCGAAAGCGAUCGUUCUACCCAUCAAUGAUACGAUAUUUCUUUCAUAGUUCAUUAAGUUUUUUGUCACGUUCUUCGGAUAAUUCAGAUAAUACUUUGAGCUCAUUUUUCAACUUCUCAAUUAUAGCGUCCUUGUUGAAGAUUGUUUUAUUUUUCUCAACUUUUUCCGGAGGUUUACAAUCACUUCUCCGCCGUUAGCCUUUGGUGUUUCAACAACUUUUACCUUAUUAGGCUUCAUUUUAAUAUUUUAGAUUCUGAGUGGAGCGAAGAAGCUUAUGGUUUUACAAAGAUGUUUAUUUUUUUUUUUAUCUGUGCGCAACUUUUCUACCAGAGAAUUUGCUCGGAUCUCUACGUGUAGUACUCUUUUUUAAAAGAAAAUCACUGUUGGGAGGUAUUUUAAGGAAGUUAUUUUUCGAAUUUCUCAAAAAUUUUCCCAGCAAACGUGAAAAACUGAGAUAAAACAUGGGAAAACCGGGAAAAACGUUGGGAACUGGGAAAAUUAUCUAUAACAGUGACUGCGAUCCUGUUUUCAUUAUCCUAGGACGUUUUUUUCAACUUUUCAGUUAAAGUAUUCUUCUUAAAAAGUGCUCAAUUUUUCUAAAUCAAUUUUUUCCUGAGUUUUAUAACUACUUCUCUGGCAGCCAUUGAUUGAGGUUUCAUUUAACGUUAUUAUUUAGUACAAUAAAUAUCCAAUUAAACCAUGUAUUUAAAAUACUGGAAGUUUAAAUAUUUUAAUAAUAAAAUAUUUUUUAUCUAAGUAACUAAUCUUCGAUACCCAAUCUAGAUGACCUUCUCUAGUUUUUAUUUUUAAUUUUUGUUUUUAUCGAAUUCAUAAAUCACAAAUUGUUUAUUAAAUUAAACGAUAAUUAGAAAAGAUUAAAAAUGAUUUACUUACGAAUCAGUCCAUUCCAUCGGGAAACUAGAAAUGAACUUAUCGUAAAUAAUGCAAUUUUAAAUCGCCGCGAAUUUGUCCCGUUUGUAUUUAUCCGGUGUUUCUCGACUGUUAUUUAUUAUCUAAAAACUAUUGGGAAAAUUAAAAACACCGGUCUUCCCAACGGGUGCCUAAUCGGCUAUAUAGAUCCGAAACGCUAUUGAUAAAGCGGCGUCUCUUGUCGUUUUUCCGGUGGAAAAAUCGUAGUCGCAAAAAAAAAAAAUCGGAUAUAGCAAAAACCAAUAUAAACGUAUAUUCGCUAUACGCGCUCUCAGACUGUAAAUACACUACAGACUUGUUGAAAACCGUUUUUUUAAUACCGCAGAGUCGUAACAAUAUUAUAAUAAAAUAAUACGUAUAUCGACGGGGUUUUCGAAGGUUUAAACGAUAUCGUCGAGUACACAUAAUAAUAAUAAUAAUAAUAAUAAGUGUAUAACGUAUACGACGGGUAAAUACGGUAAACAGCGUAGUAGUGUAUCGGCGAAACGCGCGCACGAGUUUGCGUGGGGAGCUGUGGCACGGUGUGGUUGUUUUAAAUGAAUUAUUCAACGGGAUAAAAGUGUGCGGCCGAUUGCUACCAUCGCCGACAAUAAAGGCGUGGUUAACGGGGAAAAAGCAAUACUUUUUCUUUAAUCUCGCACAAACGGCAUGGUGUGUUCAACGGUUCGACGGACGAAGGGGUUAAAAUUUAUUCACCGACGACAGUCGACACGGGCGAAACGGUUAUAAUGUCUGCGCGCUGUCGUCGUCGUAUAGCCUUUGCUGCUGCUGCUGUUGAAUUAUAUACCUGGGUUGUGUACACUGUAAACGGGAGGUAUUUUUUUUUUUUUUUUUUUAUACGAGUCACGGGGAGGCGGCCGACGGAAAGAAAAAACAAAUACGGGGGGUGGAAAGGAAAUACAGAAAAAAAGAUACGGACAUACUUCGCACAAUGGAUGGGCCACCGUUGUGUGGUGAAAAGUCGAGAAAGUAUGGGGGUAAAUUUAAUGUGUAUCUGCAACGAUUAACACAUUUCUAACGAUUCUGAGCGGAAUUAGGUCAAUAGUGUUGCCUAUUCAACGAUAUAUUAUGUGUCAUAAUAUGAUGCAUUAUAUGUUGUUUUAAUAAUAUUUAUUUUUCCUACGUUUUUUCUACGUUUUUCCUUAUUUAUUUGAGGAAAUUAUAAUAUGACCUCAUUUAAGUACUACCCCAGUCAAAUUUCCUUUAGAAAAAAGUGCUACAUUUUAAAAUCGGUACAAAAUUACUAGCAAAAAAGUUGUUGACAUAUAAAAAAAAAAUAGGUAUCGUAGUAAAACCAAUCAAUUUCUCGUUUCGCUCAGAAUCUAAAAUACGUAUAAAAAUCCGCGAAGUAUCCCGUUUGACGACGGCGUGUGUAGAUACGAGAUGUUAUUCGAAUUCGCGCCGCUAUAAUAGAAGGCUGGGCGUUAGAGAGUUAACAAGUUAAAGUUAAAUUGCUUUAAAUUUUUAACUUAGUAAAUACAUUUUUUUUUUUUGAACUAUUAACUUAAUUUUUAACUCGAGAAAUACAAAAAAAUUAACUUUUGUUGUUUAAAUUGUGUACAGGAAAUAAAAAUCGUAAUAAAAUAUUACGAUUUUUAUUAUUACUAAAAUAGUAACAUAUUUCACACAUUUUCCUGGUUUUAACUAGGUUUUUCAAAUUUGAUGAUAAAAUCGAAAAAUGACCUCCCUAAAGUAUCUCCUCGCAUCGAUUUUCUUUCAGAAAAUGAGCUAUACUUAGAAAUCCGAGCAAUUCUCCUGGUAGAAAAGUUGUUAACAGAUAAAAAAAAAAAAAAAAUAAGAAUAAACAUCUUUGUAAAACCAUAAGCUUUUUUGCUCCACUCAGAACCUAAAAUGAGUGAAGUUGAUUUCAAUUUUUAUUUGUACGCUCAUAUAAAUAAAUAUAUUAUUAUUGUCGUUAUCAAUAUAAUUUAUUAUGAACAAUUUAAAAUACGAAUUGUUAUGAAUGCCUGUUACUUUGUAUUGUUGUCUCCGGUUGGGGUUUGUAGGUAUAGAUUAUUAGAUCAUUAUAGUAGGUAAUAGACAAUAAUAUGUAAAGGUCUUUUUUUUUUUUUUUUUAGUUAAGUUAACUCGAGUUAAAAAUGUAAUUUUAACUUUUGGUCAACUUCUAAUACUUAGUUGCGAAUCGAUCGAUUAUCUCGAAUCGACUUUUAACUGUUAACUGUAUUCAAAUUUAAAUUUAACUUAACCGAGUUGAAAAAAAAUCAUUAAUUCGCCCGGCCUUGUUACAUGAUAUAAUAUUAUUAUUAUUGUACGUCGUCGUCUUCGCCGAGCCGUCAAAUGGCCCGGUCGGGUCCGUGACGCGGCGGCUCUCCCCCGCGCCCGCCGUCGCAGCUAUAAUAUUAUUGUAAUAUUCGAUAUUUUUUAUGAUACAUUAUCGCAGUGUUAUUGUGUAUAAGACGUACAAUACGAAUUUUAGUAGGUGUCCGUCGGAUGUGUAUAUACAUAUACACAUAGGGUGGCGUUAAAUGCGCCGGAAAUGUAGUCGGAAUUUCUCAAUUGAACCGGAAACGGAAUAUUAUGCGACGGCGACCGAGACGAUGACGAUUUUAAGUACGCGUAAAUAUAUUUUCAUACUCGUCAACGUCGUAUCGUUAACCGUCCGAAAUGAUCGGAUCACGCGGUCCGUUUUGUUUUUUAUUGUACGCAGAGGACAGAAAACCGGCCAACAUUUUUAUAAUUAGGUAAUUCGAAAUGUGACAAAACGGCGUGUAAAAAAAUUAAAAUCGUCAUAAUACAGUUAUCGCAGUUUUUUUUUCUCGCACACUUAUAAAACGUCGAUGUCGACGCGGAUCAUUUAUUCCGUCUGCGAAUUUACCCCCAAGCCGAUUUGUCGUCGUUACAAUAAUAUUUCUUACGCGUUUUAUCUUUAUCUUUUUCAUUUUUUUAUAAUCAAUUUAAAAUAGUUAUUUUCGCCGGAGUUUUAUUAUAUUUUAGUUUCAAAGUAUAUGCAGGGUAUUUAAAAUCCGGUAUUCUGUGCGAUGAGCGAACACCAUCCAUGUACUAAACUACAUCCUCUGGCUUUAUUUCGGGGUCUGUAGGGGUGUACAGAGCUAGAAAAAAACGGCCUCGCCCCGCAACGACACGGUUAAACUCGUAUUGAAAUUCAACCGAAAUCGCAUCACUUCAAUCCGCCUAUGAAAAAUACCCUAAUUGUUGAAUUUAAGCUCAUUUGGUCCGAAAGGGGAACCGUUAAAAUGAUGAAAUGUAACGGAAAAAAAGAUUCGUAUAUGGGUAUACAUUGCAAUAAGAGCGGUUUUUUUUUGUUUUUAUCUCGAUUUAUUAACGAUUAUAUUUACGAAGAUUUUGACUAAAACCGAUUGUGAUUUUUUUCAAUCAUCCUAGAAUCGUUCAACGGUCUUAUUGACAAUGGUUUCAAAACGUCAUCCGGCUUCUCCCUCACACCAUAAAUAUAAUAACAUAUCAACUGAAGGUUAUCAAAAAGCAACGCUGCCUUUUUUUCAACAGAUAUUCAUAAUAUUCACCGAAUCGUAAUAUGAUCCGGCGAAUUUAAUAUUAUUAAAAAAGACAGACGUACUUCGCGCGUGGAUGAGAAUUUAAUGUAUAUCUGUACGCAAUAAUGAACCAUUGCUAACAAAAAAACGAUACUGAGCGGAGUACGAUUAAUUUUAAUAGUGUUGUUCUGUCUGCUGUCAACAAACAAUAUAUAAUAAUAUAUCAUAAAAUAAUCACAUAUGCAUUAAAUAUUUUUAAUAAUAAUAUUUGUUUAAUAUAUAUUGUACCUAUUUUCCCGAUUUUUCACAUUUGUCACGAAAACAGCUGGAAAAAUCAAAAAAUUACGUUCUUAAAGUACCACCAUAGAUUAGAUUUCCUUUUGGAAAAAGCGCUACACUUGUAAAUCGAAGUAAGAUUUCUGGUAGAAAAGUUGUUUAUAGAUAAAAAAAAAAAAAAAAACAUCAUUGCAAAUCAAAUACAUCCCUCGCUCUACUCAGAAGCUAAAAUAUCAAUAUAUAUAUAAUAACCCAAGCACUCAUCUAUGACUAGGUGUGAACUUUCAUCCAAGUUCGAUUUAAAAUACCUCACAUUAUCAAAUAAAACACCAAGGCAAUCUCUUAUCGAUGGCAGUUUAGAGCCAGUUAUUUUGUCAUUCAUAGACCCAAUUAAAAAAGUUGACUGCCCAGACAUUUUGUUUUAAUAAGAUUGUAGCUUAUAAGUUUGAAUGUAAUUGAAAUUAUCGUUAUUCAAUCUAAGGAAAUACGCCCGCCACCAAGGAAAUAAACCAACUAAAAUAUGUUUUUAACUUUCAUUUAAAUCGUACAUGUAGAAUACGUUAUUCUGUUGUCCGUUUUAUGUAAGAAUAAUAUUCGAAUACCAUUUUAUUUACUAAUAUCAAAACAUUAUUUAAUCUAUACAUCGUAAAAUAACUUAAUUGUUACACAACAGAAAGUUGUGCGUUGUGAGAUAAACGAAAUACAGAAGCCACUUGAAUUCCGUCGAUACGUUAUUUGUAAUGGCUACAAAAUCAUUAUUGCCAUUACUCCUAUAUACAUAUAUAUUUAUGUAUAUUAUACAAUAUACAUUGUAAAACGUGUAAAGCCUAGCACAACCAGCUUUUAAAUCGUUUUAUAAAUAAAACGGUAAAUGUCAUAGACAUUUUAAAGAGACGCUUUAUAUUAUAAGAAAUCGUUUUGGCAACAAUAAAGUUCCUAAUCAAUUUUUUUGUACAUUGAAAAUUUAAAAAAAUAAAUAUAAAAACCAAAACACAACCACUUUGAAGCUUCGCGAAGGGGUUGACGUAUCGUACUCAAAAUAAACCUAAAUUAUUUUCACAAUGUACUUCACAAGAUUUCGAGCCCGCAAAUUCGAAUAAUUAAUACGUUUUUUUUUUUUUCAACUCCUAUAGCUAAGGACCGCCAUAAUAUAUAUAUAUAUACAUAUAUAUUAAAAGGUAAAUUGUAUGCGCUUGUUUAUUUUCGCCUGUAUCGUAUCNUAUAGCUAAGGACCGCCAUAAUAUAUAUAUAUAUAUAUAUAUAUAUACAUGUAUAUUAAAAGGUAAAUUGUAUGCGCUUGUUUAUUUUCGCCUGUAUCGUAUCUAUACAGUUCAAUUUCGGUCUCAAAUAACGCGUCCGAUUAAUGACGUUACCGAUGAGAGUGGGUUUAACGUUUGUAUAAUAUGUUAUUGUUAAACGUAAUAUUACGUUUGAAUAUUAAUAACGUAUAGGUAUGAUGAAAAACGUGAGAAAUUCGGAUGGCGAAAAUUCUAUUGCAAGGAAAAACGGGGAAAAAAAACAGCAAAAUUUGUGUACGGGUGUUUACAUUUUUAUCGUUGUUAAUUAUUAAAUUUUAAUUAUAUCGCUUAAAGGUUUAAUUAAGUUUACAUUUUUUACAUAAACGUUCAUAAAUACAUCAAAAAAAUACUAUUUACGUUCGUUUCACCCCGUUAAUGAGUCUUUUUUUUUUUUUUUUGCGUUAAAUUUGAUGAACAUCGUUUACAAAUAUGUAACAUAAGCGUGUCACUAUUGAAAUAAUGUUAUUAUUCGAUAUCAAAUUAAAAGUUUUUAUUUUUUUUUUAGAAAAUCGGAACACGAAAUGAAAAUAUUUGCAUAUUUUUGAGAACUUUAAAUUAAAGUUGACAUAAUUUAAAAAGCGAUCUCUUUUUUAUUUAUUUAUUUCGAUACCUAUGUAGCUAUAUUAUGUACUUCAAACGAAAAUAUUCAAAUUUGUUGGCCCGGAAAUCGACACAACGCGGGUAAAACUGCAAAAUAUGAAAAAUAAAUUAUUUUUAGUUUGGAGACAGUAAAUUAUACGAAAGAAUACUUUUGAUUCAGAAACACGUUACUGCCUAUAAAUUGUUUUGGCUCGGGGGCGGGAUUAAAAUCGACAAAAAUUCACCGUGUAGCAUAGCGACUUGCAACUCCUCUCCACCUUCUCAUCACUGACAAUUACACUCGUUAAACGUUAGUUUAUGGAAAAUCGGCUUUCCAAGCGAACCGGAGGGUUGCGGAAUUAAACUUUUCGAACUGCGCAUCUGGUUACAGACUAUAAUAAAGUUUCUCAUAGGCGGAGAUUCGAUUGAAUUUUUUGGAGAACUAUUUUUGCGACGAGCAAAAAAAAAUCGUCGCUUGCGUAUUAUAAUACCUGCAUACUCGUUCGUUGUAACACAUAAACAUGUAAUUAACAUUUUUAUAAAAAAUCGUUUUAAUUUCGGGUGGAGAGGAGGCUAAAAUAUUUAUUUGUUUAUUUUUUAACAAUUAAGUGGUGCUAUGGAUGAUUUUGUGGGCUAUGUCACCCUAGCUCCAGCCAAUCUUCGUCUAUGGCUCACUUGCAUUUUUCCAUUUUUUUUUUUUCAAAAAACGGGAACCAAUUCGGUUACGUCGCAAUAUUAUUUAUUUGAUUUGUAAUAAUGCGGAUAUAGAGUGCAAUGGAACCGUUAGAAAUUCAAUUGAAAACAUGUAUAAUUUUGAGCCGAGAUUUUCCCUAGAUAGCUCGCCGGUUCAAUCCGGUCCUUGUCACCGUCGACCAAUCGGCAAAGCGUUGCAAGAUAUAGUAUGUAUAGAUGACGAGUAUAAAAAUAAUUAUGAUGUUGACAAAAUAUCGGCAAAAAAUAAUAUCAUGUAAAGUUCCAAGAUUUUUCGGCGAUUGCUGUAAAAUUAGUACCUAUUUUAAACAAAUUUGAAAUACCUAUUUAAAAAAUAGAUAUGAUGAUUUCAAUGAUUCGGGGGGGGGGAGAGGGAAGGCUAAGCACCCCCAUGUUUUUCCGCCUAUGUUAAACUACUGCACCAAAACGCGGUAGAUUUGACGUCAUAAUAUCGUCAUGUUAUUGCUCGAAAAACUCAAACGCGUGUCUUCCGGAAACUUUAGCACGUCAGACGUAUGAAAAAAAUAGCAUCGUAAUUAACGCGUUGUAAUAAACAUUGUUUUUUUUUUUCGCGGUCAGUUAGUUAUGAUGUAAAAGGAAAGAAAAAAAAACCGUAAAAACUGUCGGUAAACUAUAACGUCGUUAUAUUCCCCGGCGCGGCGGCGUAACAUACAGGAGAGUUACAAUAACGCGACACGGUGUCCACGUAUAGCAAUGAAAAAAUGUGUAUAAAAUACGCCCGAACCAGUUACGGUUCGGCCGCAGCGUACGCUUGUUGUUCCGAUAGAGCUGCACACACGCGCACGCCUAAAUAACAUAUUACAGAUACGAUUGUUAUCUGUGUAAAUUAACGCUGACCGUAUAAUGUGCGAUAGUACUUAAAGGGAAAAAAAAAAAUGAAAUAACGAACCGGAGGAGACAGAUGUUUGUGUGUGCGUCCGCAGCGCGUUUCCGUCGCCGCGCCGCUCACUUCGAUGGGUCUCAAUAACGGCGGCGGCGAAGUCUUUUGGGGAUCGCGGGAGUCGCAGCAGGUGAUUUUCGACCGAUAGUAGUGCAUUUCGGAUGUAUAACGCAUAAAACAGCGAGCGUGUUGUGUCGUAUUAUAGUGUUAUAGGGCCGCUCGACCGGAACGCGUUGUACGAUCUCUUUUAAUUGAUUCCGAAAUAGAUGGAAAAAAAAAAAUGGAAAAUGUAUAUAGAAUAUAGGUAAAAAAAAAGUAAUGUCGUUAUCUACACCUUUGAUCUUUCCGGGGGCAUCCGAGAAAUUGCUCUCGGUAUAUACGUGUGUAUUUUUUAUUUUUUUUUUUUUGUUCAUGCGCUAUCCGGUUCCAAUUAAUAAUAACGUGUCCGAGGUCAUUCUUUUUUUUUGGUGUAUGUGUGCGCGCGCGUGUGUGUGUAUGUAAUUUUUCCCCGUUGAUCCUGACGUUUUUUUUUUUUUUUUUUUUUUUAUAAGCCGUGAAUAUUAUUAUUAUGACCGCGAAGCCCGAAUGUAAUAACAGUUUAUAAUAACACGACGACAAUACGUAACGUUUUAAAAUAAUACACGAGUCUGCGGGCAAGCCGCACGUCAAAAUAUUCAGUACACCGCGCACAUCCGGAAACACGGUGCAGACUCGGCGCGGGUCGGUCCUUCCCGAUCGUGUGUGUAGAGAAUUUAUUUUCGUAACGGAUUCGCCGUUUUAUUAUUAUUAUUAUAAUGCUCGUAAGUCGUAUCGUAAGUGAUGUGUCACGGCGAUUCAUUGUUGCUGCGGUACGAGGCAGAAUACACAAUAGUCUCAAAAGUGCAUUCACGAUUUUUUCGUUGUUUACGUGUCGUAGUACUUCGAGUAGCUGGAUACAAUAUGUGUAACGUUACAAAUACGAAUACAAUUGAGAAACGUUUUAUUUUCGGCGAAAAUCGAAUAGACAAGACCCGGGAACAAUCGUCGCCCCGACGUACCGUUCAAGUGUUUCCAACACGAUUAUUGUGUAAAAUGUGAAUAAGCUGCGCAUAAUAUGUAAAACGAAAAAUAAUGAUCCAUUUCAGUCACAAACUCCAACGUUCCGUCUCACUUUGCUACACCGGUACAUUGUCUCAGGAAUUUCCAAAACGGGGUGUUAUAAAAAAAAAAAAAAAAAAAAAAAAAAAAAAAAAUGCAAAAUCGUUUUCACUAUUUGCCGGGCCAAACACAAACGGAGUAGGACGCGCUCCUAUACGAAAAAUUAUCGUUCUACAGGGACGACUUUGCGCUAUUAGAUUUAAUAUUAGAACGAAUUGACCCAUUGUCAAAAAUUAAAUUUAAGAACAUUAUCCGAACACAUUAUUGGUGUUUUAUAAUAUUGGAUUCAAUAUUAGAACGAAUUGACCUGUUGUCAAACUUAAAUUUAAGAACAUUAUCCGAACACAUUAUUGGUGUUUUAUAAUUAACUUAAUUUCCAAGCGAACAUUUUCUAUAAGCAUUGUUAAAUUGUGGCAUUCCACAUACCACCCCGUGACUGAUUCGAGAAAUGAAAAUAUCGAAGAAACAGGUACGUUACUGAGAUGAUGUUCUUUUCUUUAAAAGUUCUUUUCAUAUACGCUAUAUCCAUACCCUCUGUAGCUUUCUGUUUUUUCCCCGUCACCACUCUCCGCGUACGUUACAUAUUUUCAAUUCUUUUAUUCGUCCGUUUUCUUCGUCUGCCGAAUUUCAAUUCCAUACAACAUCGUUACUGAUCGUAUCAAGGUAGCGUAAUUGAUCAUUUAUUUUGACGGUAAUCGUGAAUUACUUUUUUUUUUUUUUUGUUUACAUAGGUUUUCUGUUUCCAGUUAUACAUCGUCUAAUUACCGUACUCGAUACAUUCUUAUGAUAAUUUAUAAUAAUAUUUGUCAAUUUAUUUUCACCGCUCAUCAUUAUCAAUACGAGUAUAAAGCUGCUGGUAUUGAUUCGACGACGGGAGUCUGCAAUCACAUAUUGUCCUGCUUUAUGACUUCUGUUUGCUUAGUUAGAAAAUAAAAUAAAACGAUGACUGGUAAAUUACUAAUGUUAUUAGCUAAUGGAUUGGUUAGGAGUCCAUUAGUUCGACUUUUACUCUUACGAGCAUUAUCGUAUUAAUUCACUUGACGUGAUGGGUACAAAAGUCGCAAUAACGAUUAUACGGGCAUUUAAGGGAUUGCAUUUUAGCGCAAAACUCGACUAGUUAAUUUUUUUUUUAACAAAAUACGUUUUAGACUAAUGAAAUUACUAAUAUUCGAAUAACAUACUAAUACGUAAAAACGUUCAUUUUACUGUUAAAUAUACAGUUGUUUUUAGUCAUGUCAAGAGUUUCGUAAAAAUCGAAUUGAUUAUUACAUUUUUUAGCGAAGUACUUGAAAAUAAAACAAUUCAAAUUCACGAUAUAUUAUAUCGAUUUUAUAAGUGUCUGGGUGUUGCGGGACUCAGAAUCAAAAUGAUGUGCAAUAUGAACGGAAGUAACUGAAUCGCAUGUCUGACGACGUAACCUGUAGUUUAGGUUAGGCAAACCAAACAUACAAAACAUACUUUUGCAUUUUGAAAUACUUAGUAGGGCCAGGCACACAAUUUGUUAACUAUUUUCUUUUGUGAAAGCAGCUUUGGGGUACCGUCCCGCAUCUGGGUUAGCUGCCUUAAGGCAUUAUAAAUCAAUUAAUAAACAAUGGUGUCUGGUGGGGGGGGGGGGGAAAUAAGAGAUCUCAAUACUACCCCCUUUGUAUCGGUGCCACACGUAAAAAAAAAAAAAAAANGGGGGGGGGGGGGUGAAAUAAGAGAUCUCAAUACUACCCCCUUUGUAUCGGUGCCACACGUAAAAAAAAAAAAAAAAAAUGUUAACCAAACAUAACCUAACCUGUAGAUUAUUAGACCCUCGGACGUGAGAGCGUCUGGAGUAAACGAAGUAAUGAAGUCUUUGAUACACGAUGGGAUCUCAUUUGCGUACAUACACGUUAAACUAUAUAUUUUUAAAUAAACUAAACAAUUUACGUAAUCAUACUGAAAUUUGAGUACAGUCGUUUAUAGACUUUUAUGAGAAAAGAAAAUGAGACAGUCAAUAACAAAUAAAAUGUAAUUGAACAAAUAAAAUUACACAUUUACAUUAUACUUUGUGAUGUAUAACUUAUACAUUUAAACACGAGGAAAUAAAUGUAAUUAAUUGUUUUCUUUGAAUAUUUCGUUCUCUGUUAAGCAUUUUUAUCGUAUUACAUUAUUUGGUAUUCUGUUUUUAAAUAUUUUAUUUUCUCCAUUAUCAGUCUUUGUACGAAAUAUAUCAGACGCUAAAAAUCGAUUAGAAAAGAUUACCUUUCCGAUGUGGUGAACGUCGAUGGUCAAAUAGGAAGCUAGUCAAUGUGCCUGCAGGGAUGCACGAGUUCAUCUCGGUGGGAUGGCUGAAUAUAAUGCAAGAAGGUGGGACCGCGGGAUAGAAUAUGAGCUCAUUGUGCAGCCGAGCGCGAGAAUAAACGGAUUCGCGAAAACGGCGCUGAUACCUAUUAUAUAUUCAUAUACAGGGUGAUUAUUUUAUCACGAUCUAAUGAUGUUUCACGGGAGAUUUGAUUGGUUAGUUUAUGCAAUAUGCAAUGGCGGUUUGAUUUUUAUUUCAAUACUUUUUCGAGUUUCACUCUAACUCCUUAUAUAAUUUAAAUGAGUGUUAACUAUAGAUUUUUAAAUAGCAAUUCCAUAUUUUUUUUUUUUUAACAGAUUUUGUUUUUUUUUUUCUGAAAACGUUGAUACGAAUAAUACUUUUACUGAAUGUACCGAUAAUGGUUUAUUAAAGUUUAAAAUUUAGUCCGGAAUAGUAAGCCAGGGUAAUACAUUUCAUAUCUACUUUUAGAUGAUUAUACCUUUCCCAACUCGCCCGCGGUCUGCAUUCAAUUAAAUUCGAAUCAAGCGUAUUAUAAAAAUGUUCUCUAGUCGAAUAUGGUUAGAAAAUCAAGAUUUCACCAAAGGACGAGUUAUCGAAUUUGGGAAUUGGUGUUUUACCGUAAACGUGCACCUAGAAUACCAAAAGAUCAAUUUUUACUUUUUAUUUAUCUAUGUUUGUAAGUAUUUAUAAUUCAGUCGGCAUUAAAAUUAUCAAUGAAAUCGAAUAACUAGUAACCAUUUAUAAUAAUAAUAAUAAUUAGUAAUAAUUAGUAACCGAAUUAUUAGUAUGGUAACUAUUUAGGUACCUAUCUAAUAGCCUGUAACCCCAUUCACAUGAUAGUGGUUCGGAAUUUCGAAUAGAUUUCGUUUUUAGCACAAAAAGUUUAGGUACGGCACGCGGCGUGUCAAUGCACCACUACUCUCCUCCAACUCAAACUUAAAAGCGAAAUAGCUCGUCAACGGACUUACGGAAAUCAAAAAUUUCAACACUGAAAACUUUAUUUCAACUAAUACUCCAUCUGUUUGUGUAACUUUUAAUAUAGGUUGCCAUUUGAAAAUCAAAAGUAGGUAGUGGUUUCAUCCCCGAAAAUAAGGGUAACGAAAAAUAACGUGAAUACAAAAUUGUAGUGCAGCUUGUUUCUUGAAUGUUUUAGAAAACGGAUUCCGGAAAAAGUUAAUACUUUCCGAGGUAAUGAGUAUGGUGUCCACUUGAACGGAUGACCACCCGGUGUUACCGAAGAAACUCGUAAAGAACGUCAAUUUUGGGGGUGCUAAAAUAUUAUGGACACAUCAAAGAUCCGCCGGAGAGCUGCCUCCGUAAUCACCCGUACGCGGUUCUCGCAAUAGUCAACUAGACCAUUCAUUAACAAUUUCGUGCAUGCUAAUUUACCAUAACUAAAUUUUAACAUUAUUUUUCAUGCACACGCGCGUUGUCUGUAGGCAACGCGUAUUUUUGUCUGCUCGUCAAUUAUGAUACGCACGGGUAAAAUAUUUAGUCGAUACUGCGAUCGGAUUUUUCCGGGGUUGGGGGGGGAGGGGUGUGUGUGUUAAUUUUAAACUCGGUGGUGCUAACGACGCCGCAGCAUCCGAAACGCGCGUCCGACGGCACGGCCUCUACGGUUUUAGGCCGCCGACACGGAACCGACCCGACCUUUACAACCGUUAUUGAGCCGUUCGAAAGCGUCGGACGCGGGAGAGCGCGCGGACUCCGGAGACGGCGGUGGGAAAAUGCGGGAAAAACCGCGGUCGGCCGGGAACGUUUCGGAGCGUGGCGGCCGGGCCCCGUUCGCGCGCGCGUUUCGCAAACGAACGCGCCGAACGACCGGCAAACGGACCCGCCGCGCGGUAUCGCGGCAUAUCAAUAGCGCGGGUCCGAGCGAUAAGCGCCCGCGGAUUCCGCAUCACCGUGUACGUGCGUGCGUGCGUGCGUACAACGUACACGCGUAUAAUAACGGCAUAACCGCGGCAUCGUCGGUCGGUCGGUCGGUCGGUCGGUCGGCCGUUGCGCGCGCGUGUAUACGUAACACGCGUAGGUACGCGUAUUAUAAUAAUACAGUGUCGGCGGCGGCGCGUGGUUAUUAUACGACGAGGGUUCGAAUAAAUUAAUUCGGUUUCUCGCGAGCGCGCCCGGGCGCAGCUGCGCGACGGGCGGAGGAGAGGGGUCGAGUUUCUCGCGCGCCAACCCGAACACGGUGUAGUAUAGGUUAAUUCGGCCGGGCGCUUUUCCGUCGCGGAAAAUUCGGUCCCCCCCGCCCCGCCCCGCACCGCACCGCCCCCUCCCCAUCCGUUUACACCUAGGCGCGCGCGUGUAUACAUAUAUAUAUACAUAUAUAUAUAUACAUACAUACAUAUAUCUACGCGCACACAUAUAUUAUAAUGAACUUACGCGGCGGCGGCGGCGGCGGACAGAAGGUAUUUAGCAAAUCACUGACACGGGAGACCGGGCGGCGGGAGCGCGCGUCGCGUAUACACGCACACGCACACGCACACGGGGAGCGCAUUGAAGUUCAUCAAACCGCAAAAUACCGCCGCCGCCAUCAAUUCCCGUGUGUGUUUGGCAUCGCUGAUUUGCAUUCGCCCCGGCGAAAUUAUACACCUAGAAAGGGUCUUUCCCGCCCGGUCCCGCCGUCUUUUAUUACGCGCGCGCGCGCGCGCGCACCCGCGCUAGCGUACAAUACCGGCGGCGGCGGUUAAUUGCGGACGCGGAAGCGUUCAUGGAGAAACAUUGCCGCGGACGUGUAAUUAACGCGGACAAAAAGACGCGCCGCCGCCGCCGUCGUCGUCGUCGGUUUUCGCUCGUGGGCGGCCGCGUUCGUCGCCCGCGUCCCGCCGGCUCAAAGGCCGCCGUCGUAUUAUUAUUUGUCUCGCGCUAUCCACGACACACAAUAACGUCGGUUUCGGUAAAACACCGAGGUGGGGCAGGGGUGGGCGCGGCGUUCCGAAAAUUCGGAUUCUUAACCGGACGAAAUUAUCGGUCCGUCAAAACCGUCGUUUCGUGUUUGCGGGUUUUCCGGUUAUUUCCAAACCAUUCCCAAGCCGCGACCAACACUAGUUGACGGUCGUAGUUUUUUAUUUCUCCGGACGUAUCGAAAAUUCGACCGGAAAUCUUGCUCUGGCGUACACGGUGCAGCGACUUUUCCGAAAGGAAAUUUUUACUGGGGAGGUACUAUAAGGGAGGUCGUUUUUCGAUUUUCUCUAGAGUUUUCCCAGCAAAUAUGAAAAACACGGGAAAAUCGGUACAAUAUUAAACAGAUAUUAUCGACGAAUAAAUAAAUAACGCCUAUCCAAUUAUUUUACCAUAAUAUGACAUGUAUUAUAUUGUUGAUAAAACAUCACCAUCAAUUGAACUCCACUUAGAAUCGUUUUUUCGUUAGCAAUGGUUCAUCGUUGCUCACGUACAGAACAUACCUAACACUCGAUAAAGAAAAACGAUCCAGUGGGGGAGGGGCGAUCGCCUCCAUUGGCCAUCCUAAAAACCGCCACUGAUCCGGAACGAUCACGUAGUAACAAUAAUGCGAUGUUUUAAGGUAUACCUAAUGAUUCACCCGUCGCGACGAAAAAUUAACAUACGCCUCCCACUGCCAAAAUCCCGUCUAAUCUCUUGGCGUUGGAUGGUUUUAGCUGUUUUUGGCGUGCUGGAGUUUAUACGCGUGGAUUAGAUUAGAUGGCGUUGGAAAACAUAAGAUACGCCUAAAAGCUUUAUCGUUAUAGGUGGCGAUUUUAUGAUCGGAGGCGUAUUCACAGGGAGUGAUGUACGGGUAAUAUACCACAAUAGUAAAUAUUUUCCUCCGGUUUAAAUUUACCACGAAAAUUUGAUCUGACAGGUGGGUGGGGGAGAGUAAUGAAUAAAAAGUGAUUAUUGACAUCUCUUUUUUUUUUUGAUUAUGUUAAAAUGGUGGCAAAAAGGAAAUAUUUUCCGUAACACCUGUGUUUUUGUUUAACUCGAUACAACGGGAGGGGUGCACGAUGCUGACUAUAACCAAAAUACAUCCGAGUAUCAGAUGCAGAGGAUACAGUUCACAAAUACGGACGUCCGACGGAGUUACUCGGUUAUGACGUGAGCGGUAUAAAUAUUAUGUAUUUUUUACAUUUCGUCGUAUUUACAGGCGAUAUAUUUACGCGUUGUGUUUCAAAAUUAAAUCCGUCCAACGCGCACUUUUAUCUCUAAACAAAUAAAAAUGAUAACUACCUAUAUAUUAUAUAUUACGGUGCCGCCUGAGCACAUUUAUAUAGAAAUAUCGUGUGACGGAUCAACCGCUCGCGGUGUGCGGCAGUGAUGGCCCCUCCUCCCGUUAUAGUCACGCCUGUUUUCCGCACACAAAUUUCACAUAUGUCCAUAAUUAAUCGUUUUUUUACGGCCCUACUGUUUCGUUUGGAUUCUGUAGUAUUAUUUUCAGUGGCGUCACGAAUUUAUAUUUUUUGUAGAAAUCGCCGCUUAGACUUUGGGUUUUGAAGUGGUUUUCAAAUAAAUUACGAUCGGGCGAAAAGCCGCAUUUGUCCCAUUUAUUGGGAAAACUCCUGGAAAAAUCAAAAAACGACCUCCCUAAAGUACACCCCGGGAAAAUUCCCUUUCUGAAAAGGUGUUACACUUUAUUUCUGAUAGAAUUUGUGCGCACAAAAUGAAAAAAAAAAAAAAAAAAAAUUAACGUCGUAGUAAAACCAAUAUACAUUCCUCGAUCCGCUCAGAAUCUAAAAUAUAUUUUAACGCAACGUACUUAUAUAUAAUAUAAUAUUAUAUACAUCUAUAGUGGAUAACUGGUGACUAUUUGAUAUUUAUCGAAAUAAAAACCAAAAGAUAUGCAUUCGUUUUUUUCCACAAAAUAAAAUAAAUGCGCAUUUCAAACGUUUGGUUUUUAUUUAAUUUGUACUUUUAUUUUUGUAGAAUAUCGUUUUCUAACUCGGUGUUCGAUAAAUCGAAAGCAUUACUAUCGACAAAUAUUAUUUAACCGCCAUACAGGGUGAUUUUUUUUUAUCAUGAACCAGCAACCAUCUCCGGGGAUUUCAAGUGAAUUUGAUUUAUGUUUUUCUAAUCAUUAUGGAAUUGUUUAACCUUUAUUUUAAAGCCGUUUUUAAUUUUUGCCCCUGCUCUAUGCACAUUAAACAAGUAUACACGUUUGAUUUUCAAAUAGGAACCCCCUUCCUUUUAAACAAAGAUUUAAACAGACGAUAUUUUUCUAGAAAUUUUGAUAUGCACAACACUAAUAUUAGAUUUGCCGUUUAUGAGUUAUAACGUAAUGAGUUUAAAUUUUAGACCGGACGAGUAGGGAAGGGUUAAAGAUAAGUAAUUCAUUACCCUUCUCUACUCCUAUACUUAUUUAAGGUACACGGAGUAAGUGCGAAAAAUAAAAAAAAAAAAUAGUUUUAAAAUAAAGCUUAAACAAUGGUUAGGAAAAACAGAAAUCGAAUUCAUUUAAAAUCCUCUGAGAUAAUUGCUGGUUCAUGAUGAAAAAAACACACCCUGUAUAUUGUGCUACUACAAUCACAAUAUAACAGAGAUGUUCACUCGAGCCUAACCUAACCUUCGACAAAUAAAUACGUAAGAAUAUAUUAUAAUAAUAUUUAUACAACGAUAACAGUUAUUAUCUUUAUUUUAACAAGCCAUCUCGGGCUCGAGACUGUACGCACGGACGGAUAAACUGGUUUUUGUAAAAAAUGAUUCGUAAAUUCGUAACAAAACGAAAAACCAACAGUGCGAGAUGGUACCGUUGAUAUUAUAUAGGCGCCGUCGGCCGCUUAUUUUUAACUCGAACGAUUCUAUUCGAAAACGAUUCUAAACGUGGCUUACAUUAUACUAGUGCCGCGAACAAUUCCCCGUCUAUCUGUAUAAUGUUACACUCGUAUUUUGAACAAUACGACGGAUAAUUCGCCCCGGAAAAACGCAUGCCUAUCGUAUAACAAACAAUAUUGUAAUAAUACGUGCGUACGUAUCGCCGUGAGACUACGUUAUUCUGUUCGGCGUCUAAAACGACUUGGGCAUAAUAUUAUUGUUAAAAAUAUGUAUACAAUUAUUAUCGUUGUGUAAACAUUUAAUCUGACGAUUAUCGCGCGAAAGCUAUUGACUCAAAGUCGUCACAUCACCAGCACCACCCCGACUUUUUCGAAUGUUCAAACCUGAAUUCGUGUACCGUUUUGGUAACGGUCGGAUUAUGUGACGAAUAAUUUCGGUAACCCCGGUAAUUAGAAUAUCUCUGGUUAAAUUUUUGUUUUUUUUUUUUUUGUUUUCGAUAAAUGAGUGCCAUCAGCGUGAUGUCACCCCCAUCGGUUUGCUUAUAACAAAAUCGAAAUACAAUGGUUAUUAUUUUUCUUCUAAAUUCUUUGGCUAUUGUCGUACAUUUAAAGUUUGUUUUUUUUCUUCGGGAAAUGAUUAUAGAUAUUUAUGAUAUUUUUAAAAUAUUGUCUCCGUGAGCUUUGUUGUACAUAUUUACAUACAAUUGAAGUAUCUGUGUCUGUCCGUUCGGAAAUAAUCUCGGAAACGGCCCGAAACGAUUCCAAUGGGACUUUCACCGUUACAUUUAUCCCGGAAUUCAACACCUGUCAGAGUGGAUGGCACAUGAUUUUUCGUCGUAUAACUCGAAAAUCGAAUUCGUCUUUUGUCUAUUAGGACUACGACUUGGUCACACGAAUGAAAAUAAGGUGAUACUGUUCACGGGUAGGCCGCUGUUCUUAGGUGGGCUGUCGGAAUGGUCGGUAUGUUCAGGUUAAUUUAAUUGGUAAACGAAUAAUCGAUUUUAAACAUAGUAGCACACGGUCAGUCGUGUUGUUUCCCUUAUUGCUAAGGUAAUCCGGUUUUAAACAAAAAUUAAAUAACACAUUUCUCGUUGGUCCCGAUCAUUGAGAAAACUAUAAUGGAAAUGAUAACCUCCACUAUAGCUAACCCAGUUAGUUGGGACUAGCCGUAAUUUGCUUUCGAAAAAAAAAAAAGAAAAAAUGACACGCUCGACGGUCGCAGUGAGAUUUCCGGUUAAAAACGUGUUGUCUACUAAAAAAAAAAAAAAAAAACGCGCCGUAGCCAAUACCCGCAGUGCGCGUGUAUUAUUCCUUGGCACACUCAGAACGUGAAAACGGUUUUCGAUAUUUAUCGUUUGCAUUUGUCACCGUCAAGCAGAGUCCGUUUUUUUUUUUUUUCUAAAAGAUUUCGAAUACGGAUUAUUGUGAUCGCCGUCGAUUACGUCGUAAUAAUAAUAACGUGUUAUGGUCGCGCUGAACCCGGUCGGGACGCCGUCCGUUCGUACGGAUCCACGGACACCGUAAGACGGACCCGUUUAUUGUGUUAUUAUUUCCGUCCGAUACGAUUGCGCGGCGAGACGAUGGCCCGGUCGCGCCCGUACAGGAAUGAAAAAUGAUGUGCUUUUCUUUUGACUGUCGAAUGACGGCGUAUCCGAGGCGGCGUUAAUCCAACGGAACGGUGACGUAACGUCACCCCGUUGACCCCGCGCCGUCCGGGGUCCGGCCGCCGUCGCAGUUCUUAAAAAACCGACACGAUAUUUAUAACUUUUUACGCCCAUUGUAAACGGUCGCGCGCGCUGCACAAUACGAAUCGGUCGCGUUUGUUUUCGAAAACGUAUUAUAUACAUUGUUUUGUGUGUAUGUGUGUGUAUGUGUGUGUGUGUGUGUGUGUGUGUGUGUGUGUGUGUGUGUGUGCGCGCGUGUGUGCGUGUGUGUGUGUGCGCGCGUGUGUGCGUGUGUACAAAAGGACCACGGAAAAUUUGAAUACGACCGCAACAGCCAAAGGUCAGAACACACGCAGCAUUUUAUACAUGCACACGACGAAAACAACAAUGCUCGAAUGAAAAAAAAAAAAAAAAAAUAAUAAUAAUAAUAAUAAUAAUAAUAAAAACCGAACGUGUCGCCGCUUAUAUAUUAUUCAAACGGUAACCCCUUGUCGUCGUCGCGGUCGCCGUUCGUUUUGUACACGGGUACCUCUACCUACCGACUAUUACUCUAUACCUAUACACACACACACACACACGCGAGUAUACGACAGUACGAAAUGUACGGUGUGCGUGCGCGCGUAUAUGUAUGUAUAUUAUUAUCGGUGGGCGGCAGGUAGUAAAGCUUUAUGAUAACAAUAGUGAAAUAGAGAAAAAACGAAAUAAAAAAAAAAAAAAGUCCAAAAGAAAAAAGCCACCCGAACCGGCGGCGGCGUACGUUGUUAUUAUUAUAAUAUCGUGUGCGUGUGUGUGUGUGUGCGCGCGCGCGCGCGCAGGUAGCCGGUAGAGGUCGUGGCCGCGGCGUUAUCACGUGUCGGACAUCUCCGGAGGCGCGCGGCAAAUUGCGCAUAAUAAUAUAUUAUUAUUGUUGUUGUUGUUGUUGUUAUUAUAACGAUACUCGCGCCUACCCGCGGCGCGAUAACAAUACCGCUGCGCCGACGCGUACUGAAACACUGUCGCCGACAAUAAUACACGGGGCCCGCGCGUGUUUACCAGACGUCGCGCGCGCGCGCCCCGUCCCGUCCGCGGCGUCGCCGCCGCGUAGGCGUCUGCUGCGGGGCGCCGCGAGAAAAACCGGAAAAACCGCCGCGUACGAGGCGCGCGCAGCACGCACCGGCGCCGCGCGAUCCGCCGCUGGUCUUGCGGCGGACGGGUGCGUGACGCGAACACAAACAGCGCCCGCCCGCCGCCGCGCGUCAUUCCGCAGCGUUGUCGCGCCCGCGGAAGACGACCCGAACGGUUUUGUCGCGGCGACCGAAACGGUCGCGUCCGAGCACCGGCACGGGAUCCCGGAGACGGGAGGCCCGCACGCACUUUGGUCGGUCGACGGGUUGAACGCCGGCCGAAUGGCGGGGUAGAACUGCGCGCGGUGCAAUUGUAAAACGUGAUUUCGCGUCAUGGCAAUGACAAUUAUGCGAUACGCCGUUACACGGACACAUUGUCCGUCCAAUCGACAAACAAAAACAAUUCGGUUGAUGUUGGGGGUGGGGGGGUGGGGGGAACGGCACGUUUUAAUAUUAUAGCGAUGCGCCAUUUUUUUUUUUUCUACGUAUUUUAUCGCGUGUAAUUUCAAGAACACUCGUUUAGAUAUCGGGAAGAAUUUUCGAUGGACGGCGAUCGUUUAAAAUUUCCCAUCAUCGGCCAUCGACUCCUACCCGAUAAUUCUGUGGAAAAAAAAAAAACGUUGGCUUUUCGCUUAAAAUUUCGAUAAUUUUUUUUUUUUUUUAUUUGAUUUUAUAUUAAUAUUCAACAACCGCUGAUUAAGAUACAAUUAUAAAAUUUGAUAUUCGAUAUUCUUAGAUCGAUUUUUAAUAAAUAAAUAAUAGAGUAUACAUUGUUAUAAAAUGUGCGAUUUUCGGAUAUAAAAAUUGAAAAAAGUGUGCGGUCUCGUCCUGUAUUUUAUCGCAAGUGUGCGUUUUUCGGAUUCAUCGAUAUAAACGUACUCGUACGGCUUGAUGAUACGCGACGACGUCCGAUGUGUUAUCAUUAUUAUUAAUGCCCGCGUCCAGUUUUAUCGUUGAUGUUGAUGUGCGCCAUCGACACCCGAACAAAUCGCAAUAAUAUUGUCGGAGACGAAAAACGGUUGGAAAACGAGACUUGUUUACAUGUCACCGUGAAUUACGCGGACGAAAUUCCGUUUGAAAAUCGGUUUCGCGUGAUUUUUUCCGAACGGAUUUACGGUGAAAUUUUUAUUUCGAAAAAGGUAGCGAAUUUCGUUGAAAACAAUGUUUGAAAUCGCAUAAAGUUUCUCCUGUUAUUCUUCUGUACUGUGACACACGUAUAUAUGCUCUCCGUGCGUUUUUAACCGAACUUCGCCGCAUGCCUGUAGCUUAAAUUAGCUCUCUCCAGUUUUCAACCGUCUUUUAAAAUUGUCUACUUCCAUUACCACUUAAAUCCGAUUGGACUGAAAAGAUCCGCGGGAAUAGACGUUUACCGCGGAACUUUCCCCGGGGGUCUUACUUCUCGGCGUUUCCGUCGCGUUUGCUGUCCGAAUCGUCUCGUUUCAUCCACUCCCGUUAUUUCCUAAUUACCGGAUGUACCCAAAGCGUUGUACGCUUUGUCGCCCUUUAGCGAACAUUGUCACUAAUCAAACAGCGCUCUUCCGAACCUCGGUCGUCAGUUUCUCGUCGCUUCGACAAUGGUAGGGCCGCAUAUUCCCGGGAGUUCUCAUCGUUGACAAUUUUCUAUCAGUUUUUCCGGCUGUCGUCCGGUCACCGCUCAGAUUCGAUAUUUGCUAUAGUUAUACACACACACAUCCAUUAUAUAUAUAUAUACUCCAUUGUCUAUUUAUAAAAUGUAAGCAAGUUCGUUACCGCUGACCCGGCGGCCAUCGUUUUAAACGAGAAAAUACGAAUUCCGUUUUUCGAACGUGUUCGGGACGAAUAACGCCGCAUACGAAUAUUACAGAAUUGCGCGCCUGUAACGCUCACUUUCCCGGUACACGUAGGUACAAUAUUAUAAUGUAUCGCCAACCCGAAACUAUAUAUACGCAUAUAAUAAUAUUAUGUGCCGGUAAAAGGAAAAAUAAAACCCCCCGACCGAAGGAUGCGCGAAAUAUACGAGCGCGUAAAAUCCGUUUUAUUCCGACCUAUUGCGUUCGAGUAGUUGAUCAAAUUUGAGAUGGCGCGGGCCGUGCACGCGCACUUUGUCCGGUCGUAAAUUUAUGUGCAUUCGCGAUCGACCGCGAGUUUAAUUUUCCGGAAACAACAAUUGCGGCGGACGAGGUGGCGAGUGAUAAGAGAUUGCGUUUCGCCGCGGUGUGUGUGUGUGCGCGUACGUUUAGUGUAGGAGAGAGGCAAUCGCGUUAAAAACCGAACAUGUGGUCACGGUCGAUGCAUCAACAUCAAACCGCGGUCUAUCCGCACACUCGCUAUAAUAUACAGUCCCGGCGCCCUUGUGAAUGGGGAGGGGGAUAGGGGGCGACGGAAAGGGCAUCCCUUUUUAGUUAAUCCCGUGAACACUGGUGAAAGAUGUGUUAAUCCGAUUAAAAGCCCCCCCCCCCUCUCACUAUCUCCCUCCACACCGUGCCACGGCAGACCUUAUAAACAACGACCUGCUCGCGCGAUUCUUCCGGUCCGCCGAUUUAUCGCCUGCGAAUAAAACCGGCGGUGGUUUUCGGUUCGCCGCCGCCGCCGCCGGUAAUGUGAUUAAAUAAUACAAAAAUAUAUACGUAUACAAAAGAAAUAAAGAAAAUGGUGACCGGCAAAAAAAAAAAAAAAUAAAAAAAAAUAUUUAUAUUUAAUCCACUCGUGUGACAAUGCCGAAUUGUUGACAAUAACUGCUACGACCCGUGCGGUGUUCAAGGGGUAGUGCAUAGGCAAUUUUAACGAAAAUGUAGAGAAAAAUACGAACAUAAUUUUACUACCCAUUCGAAAAUAUAAACGCAAGAUAAAAGUGAUUUCCGCGAUAAAACGUUUCAUAAUGUAGAAUUGAAUGACCGCCUAUAGCACAAAUUCGUUUGUAUAGCAACCUGUUACUGGUUCCCAUUAAAAUUGGAAUCGGUUAAAAAAGAAUCAAAUUCGUUUUAUCGGUUACAUUGGUUAAGAAAUUGGUUAUAAAAUGUUGUGACCAUCUCGGAUAGACGGUGACGAACGAUAAAUCCCCUCCAGAAUUAUUACUUCUCUUUAAAAAAAAACUCUGGCGACUCUCCGAAACUUUGGCGACCAGCGUGUUAUCACCUUCCAUGAUUAUGAUGUUGUCAAACGAUAUUGAUUUAAUUUGACUAUGGAAAUUUCGUUGUAAAUUGUUAACGUUGAUAUAUUAUUAUUUAAUUUCGUUUAAUUGUUAUUUAAUAUAGUUUUACGUAGGUACAACCGAGUGCAAAAGAUAUUCAAACUCUUUUUGAUAUUUUAGUUUGGUUCAUUAUCAAUUUUUUUGCCUGUCUGUAAGCAAAUUUUUUCACCGAAAAAACGACAAUAACGCUUUUUUCGUAGCAUUUUGAAUCUAGUUGAUAUACUGAGAAGUGCAUAUUUUGGUUUAUUUAUUUAUUAGAAUCGCGUCAUACAUUUUUCUUGCGGUUUUCACUUCGUGUACCCUAUCUUUCUAACUUUCCACCUAUAACAGUGGCAUACCCAUGAGCAUUAUCUGCUCUUUUGUUUUUAACGCUGAUAGAUUUGUCUCGUUGUUUUCUAUAUUUUAUUUUAUAACGGGUAUUUUAAUUCCGAAACCACUUACAAACGUCUUUUCGCUUGUUCCACGUGUUAAAAAUAUAUUUUACGACUAUAUAUUUCUGCGAUGUAAACUUACGGAUAUUGCGAAUUUACAAUUGAAUGGUACACGGAAGAAGAGCAGUAGUCCUUUAUUGUCGAGAUAAUGGUACCGUCGUUCGCCGGUGGUUCGAAAUAACUAUUAUCGGAUGAUGUGCUCAAUUCUGUGAACAAAUACGUUUCAGUAAAAUAAUAUAUUGAAGGCGAAAUAUAAAAUGUGCUCCGCGCAGCUGUAUAUGGAGAAGUUUUGUUCUGCCGAACAUUUUUCUAUAAAACGCGUUACACCCGUCUUCCCGCGCGCGCUUCAAUUGUAUAAUCCGUUCCAAGAGUCAGAAUACAUUGGUGCUGUUUUUUUGUUUUUUUUUUCAGGUCAUGUGCCCACUGUGCACCAUCCUCUCUAGCGUAUUUCGGCGGUGUAUAAAAAAAUAAAAAUAAUACGCAGCGAAGAAGACGGAAUAGGAGUUUUUCAACCGACGUAGUCGUCGACUCAAAAGGAAUAGUAUACGGGUAGUGAUGUAGUACAAACACCGCGGUGGUGUUCCUAUACACACAAAAGGAGAUUGUAUAACGUUUGCGGUCGUAUAUUAUAUAUAUAUAUAUAUACAAAUUCGAAACGGGAGACGAACAAAACCAAAGGAGUCGCAGAAGCAGCAGCAGCAGCAGCGACAGUAGUGCGAGAAAUACAAAAUAAAUAAAAACCCGAUGUAUAAUACUUUAGCUCCGAGAAAUUUAAAUAGUGUUUAUGUAAAGUGAAACGUACCUACCUGUGUAUAUUUAUCGACAAUUUGCAUUUUAUUGGUAAACCGUCUCUUUCGAUAUUAUUGUAAUAAUAAUAAUAAUAAUAAUAUAGUCUUGCGGUUUGUAUACGUAUAUUAUAGUACGUAUAAUACAGCAGAUACCUAAACGUUUUCUUUUUGACUGUCUGCUACCGAGUCAACGCCGCACAAACGGUUGUCUAUACCGCAGGUUAAAUACGAACGGUUACGGCGGGACGUAAACACAAAAAUUUAACGUGCUCCUAGAAAAUGCACGUCUCGUUUUAAAAAACAGGAAAAACGAUAAUAUUUAUACACACGUCGAGUUUUAGACGGAUAAACAAUAACCGUAACAUAAUUUGAACUAUUAUAAGUACACAAUUAAUUAAUAACAACAAUAAUAAUAAUAAUAAUAAUGUAUUGUAAAGAAGAAAAUUUACAAUAAGUGAUAACGCCCUUUAUGGGCUAAGAGUACAGAUAUAUAGCGUAAAUACGGAAUACAUUAAGUGAG